rnacentral:rRNA from 1 species
AUACGUAGGUGACAAGCGUUAUCCGGAUUUACUGGGCGUAAAGGGCGUGUAGGCGGUCUUGCAAGUCAGAAGUGAAAUUCCUGAGCUCAACUCGGGCGCUGCUUCUGAAACUGCAGGACUUGAGUGCUGGAGGGGAUAGCGGAAUUCCUAGUGGAGCGGUAAAAUGCGCAGAUAUUAGGAAGAACACCGGUGGCGAAGGCGGCUAUCUGGACAGUAACGGACGCGGAGGCGCGAAAGCGUGGGGAGCAAACAGGAUUAGAUCCCCUGGUAGUCCACGCCGUAAACGAUGAAUACUAGGUGUAGGGGGUAUCGACUCCCUCUGUGCCGCAGUUAACACAAUAAGUAUUCCGCCUGGGGAGUACGGCCGCAAGGUUGAAACUCAAAUGAAUUGACGGGG